AACGAACGCUGGCGGCAGGCUUAACACAUGCAAGUCGAACGCACCGCAAGGUGAGUGGCAGACGGGUGAGUAACACGUGGGGAUCUGCCCAAUGGUACGGAAUAGCUCCGGGAAACUGGAAUUAAUACCGUAUGAGCCCGCAAGGGGAAAGAUUUAUCGCCAUUGGAUGAACCCGCGUCGGAUUAGCUAGUUGGUGUGGUAAAGGCGCACCAAGGCGACGAUCCGUAGCUGGUCUGAGAGGAUGAUCAGCCACACUGGGACUGAGACACGGCCCAGACUCCGACGGGAGGCAGCAGUGGGGAAUAUUGGACAAUGGGCGCAAGCCUGAUCCAGCCAUGCCGCGUGAGUGAUGAAGGCCUUAGGGUUGUAAAGUUCUUUCGCCGACGAAGAUAAUGACGGUAGUCGGAGAAGAAGCCCCGGCUAACUUCGUGCCAGCAGCCGCCGUAAAAC
rnacentral:rRNA from 1 species